rnacentral:rRNA from 1 species
CUAUGCGCCUUGCCAGCCCGCUCAGGUGUGCCAGCCGCCGCGGUAAUACAGAGGUCUCAAGCGUUGUUCGGAAUCACUGGGCGUAAAGCGUGCGUAGGCGGUUUCGUAAGUCGUGUGUGAAAGGCGGGGGCUCAACCCCCGGACUGCACAUGAUACUGCGAGACUAGAGUAAUGGAGAGGGAACCGGAAUUCUCGGUGUAGCAGUGAAAUGCGUAGAUAUCGAGAGGAACACUCGUGGCGAAGGCGGGUUCCUGGACAUUAACUGACGCUGAGCACGAAGGCCAGGGAGCGAAAGGG